ACGUGCACUUUUGGAGGUGCUGCUCUUUUUGCUCGUCCGUUUCGUCCCUUGGUUCUCCAUUGCAUUGUCGGCGAUAGAGAGCAACGAACGACUGCAGCUGACGGGGAAAACAUGCGGAGGUCGCAGACAGUGGUAGAGACAUCAAAUGGCAAGGAAGAAAGAUGUGAGUGGUUUGGUGUGAUCGCCUAGAUGAAGACUAUUAUAUAACUCAACUCAGGUCUUGGAAAACGAUUGACAUGUUCCUUUAACCUCUGGUGAUCCUGGACACUAUUACGUCAUAAGUGUGGACUUGAUGAAGAUGAUGAUGUAUAUCAUAGACAAUUGUCCUACUCGCACUCCUAAAAGCUUUAUAUGGCAACGCUCCCGUAGACUUGGUAAGGUCACAAAUAUUUUGUAAUAUUGUUUCCAAUUUUACCACCAUGCUUGUGGUGCUUACUUUUCCGUGUUUGACGUUUCAUGAUUGGUGUUGUGCAACGUGGUGAUAUUUGUUAUGCGUGAGGAAUGAUUUAGUGGUGCAUUACACUGUAUUUUGUCGUGCAUUCACACUUGGCUCAUGUGUUUUACUAUCUUGUAUUCUGAUCUGUAAAGUGGGUUCAUGUGUCUAAUUGGUGUAUUCUUUGUGGACAUUGCAACAAGCAUUACUUGGCUCGUUUAUGAUCGAGCGGAUUGCGUGCAAUGCUUGUAACCGAAGUGGAUGCAAAUGUCAUUGGAGGGACGCAACCAUCUUGGAGGAUAAUGCCAUUUAUUCUAUGCGCCACAUAAAUCGAAUUUGGGUUAGAGUGUUUCAAACUUGACGUGUGGUAUAGUCAAAAGUGACAUGGACAUGCUUAAUAAUUUGCGUAAGAGGUUCAUGCAUGAUAUCUUGGUGGUCAAUUCAUUUGUACAUUCACAAAUCUAGGUUGCUGGUUGCACAUC